GACGAACGCUGGCGGCGUGCUUAACACAUGCAAGUCGAACGGAAAGGCCCUGCUUUUGUGGGGUGCUCGAGUGGCGAACGGGUGAGUAACACGUGAGUAACCUGCCCUUGACUUUGGGAUAACUUCAGGAAACUGGGGCUAAUACCGGAUAGGAGCUCCUGCUGCAUGGUGGGGGGUGGAAAGUUUCGGCGGUUGGGGAUGGACUCGCGGCUUAUCAGCUUGUUGGUGGGGUAGUGGCUUACCAAGGCUUUGACGGGUAGCCGGCCUGAGAGGGUGACCGGCCACAUUGGGACUGCGAUACGGCCCAGACUCCUACGUGAGGCAGCAGUGGGGAAUAUUGCACAAUGGGCGGAAGCCUGAUGCAGCAACGCCGCGUGCGGGAUGACGGCCUUCGGGUUGUAAACCGCUUUCGCCUGUGACGAAGCGUGAGUGACGGUAAUGGGUAAAGAAGCACCGGCUAACUACGUG
rnacentral:rRNA from 1 species